rnacentral:lncRNA from 1 species
GAGACCCCUGCUAUGGGGCUGCCCCCCUGCUAUGGGGCCGACCCCACUGCUAUGGGGCUGACCCCAUCGCUAUGGGGCUGGGGGGUCUUACUAUGGGGCUGUCCCCAUUGCUAUGGGGCUGGGGGUCCCGCUAUGGGGCUGGAGACCCCUGCUAUGGGGCUGCCCCCCCGCUAUGGGGCCGACCCCACUGCUAUGGGGCUGACCCCAUUGCUAUGGGGCUGGAGCUCCCCCCCUGCUAUAGGGCCAGCUCUGGGGCCGCCCCCCAAGCUGUGGGGCCAGCCCCAUAGCCUCUCAGGGGGGCUCAGCCCCCCGGCGGGGGAUGCACCCCUCCAUCUCCAGCGCCUCCGGCCACCCCUCGUACUUGUUGGCCCCGCGGCUGUUCUUCACGUGCUGCAUUUUUGGGCCGAAAAACGUCAUUGUGGGCUCCGUCGCCCCCCCCCCCAAACCCCCAAAAAGGCCCCCCAAAAAAAGGCCCCCACCUGCUCGAAGGGGCUCCUCUCGCGGACCCCCUUGGCCCCCACGAAGACCCAGCUGUCGCGGAACCCCAAAUCCCCCACGGCCCCGCUGCCCAGCUCGGCCAGCAGCCGCCGCGACUCCUCCGUCAGCCUGGUAAUUAGCGGCCCCCGUUAAUUAGCGGGGCCCCCCCUAAUUAAUGAGAGCCCCCUUAAUUAGGGGAGAGCCCCCCCCCCUUACUUGGUGGCGGGGUCGUCGAAGGAGGCCACCAGCACCAGGGUCCCCUCGUGGAGCGGGCGGAGGAAUUUGGGGAGCUCCGAGGGGUCUUUGGGGAGAAAAAAGGGGAUUUUGGUGAAAUUGAGGGGGAGGGGGGGGAUUCUGUGGGGGUGGGGGGGUGGGGGGUGGGGGGAAGAAUUGGGGAAUUGUGGAGGGGUUGGGGGCAAAAGGUAGGGGGUGGGAAGGGAAAAUUAGGGGGUCGGAGAGCAAAAUGGGGGUUUUAGGGAUAAAAAAUGGAGUUUUGGGAAAAAUGAGGGUUUGGGGGAAAAAUGAGGGGUUUGAAGCAAAAAUUGGGUGUUUGGGGGAAAAAAAUGGGGAUUCAGAACCCAAAAACUGGGGGAUUGGAGAGCAAAAUGGGGGGGUUGAGGCAAAAACUGGGUGUUUGGGGGAAAAAAUUAGGGCCUUUUGCCCCAAAAUCCCCCUCUUUUGCCCCAAAAUCCCGCCCUUUGUACCCCAGCCCUCCCCCCAUACCCUCGGAUGUCCCAAAAUCCCCCAAAUUCACCCCAAAACCCGGUGCCCCCCCCUCACCUCCUGCCCACCUGUCGAAGGCCUGGGCGGCGAUCAGCUCCCCGCUGACACCUGGGGGGGCAAUUAAUGGGGGGGGGGCAAUUAAUGGGGGGGGCAAUUACCCCCCCCUAGGGCUAAUUACCCCCCCCCCAGACCCCCUCCCAAGAGCAAUAACUGCCCCCCUAGAUACUAAUUACCCCCCUCUGGAUCCUAAUUAUCCCUCCCAUCAUUAAUUACCCUAAUUACCCCCCCAGGGCUAAUUAACCCCCCCAAAACCCCUCCCAA